CCCCAGCUCUCCAGUAGGAGGUGCUGUAGACGGCCCCAUCUCUCCAGUAGGAGGUGCUGUAGACGGCCCCAUCUCUCCAGUAGGAGGUGCUGUAGACGGCCCCAGCUCUCCAGUAGGAGGUGCUGUAGACGGCCCCAUCUCUCCAGUAGGAGGUGCAGUAGACGGCCCCAUCUCUCCAGUAGGAGGUGCUGUAGACGGCCCCAUCUCUCCAGUAGGAGGUGCUGUAGACGGCCCCAUCUCUCCAGUAGGAGGUGAUGUAGACGGCCCCAUCUCUCCAGUAGGAGGUGCUGUAGACGGCCCAUCUCUCCAGUAGGAGGUGCUGCCCAGAACUAUUGCUUUUUGCUGAUAGUGGAUAUUACCUUGAACAUAUUUUAUACAAGGUUGGUCUAUGUUGAAAAUUGGUUACCAUGAUGACAUAAUCCUGUGGUUGUAACUUUACUGUAAAACAUCUCAUGCCAAAAUCAUGGUGAUUAAUAUGGAGUUGGUCCCCCUUUUGCUACUAUAUCAGCAUCCACUCUUCUGGGACAGCUUCCCGCUAGAUGUUGGAACAUUUCUGCGGGGACUUGCUUCCAUUCAGCCAUAAGAACAUUAGUGAGGUCAGGAACUGGUGUUGGGCGAUUAGACCUGACUCGCAGUUGCCGUUCCAAUUCAUCCCAAAGGUGUUCGAUGGGGUUGGGGUCAGGGCUCUGUGCAGGCCAGUCAAGUUCUUCUCAAAAAACCAUUUCUGUAUGGACCUCGCUUUGUGCACGGGGGCAUUGUCAUGAUGAAACAGGAAAGGGCCUUCCCCAAACCAUUGCCACAAAGCUGGAAGCACAGAAUUAUCUAGUGUGUCAUUGUAUGCUGUAGCGUUAAUAUUUCUCUUCACUGGAACUAAAAGGAGCCUAGCCCGAACCAUGAAAAUCAGCCCCAGAACAUUAUUCAUCCUCCACCAAACUUUACAGUUGACACUAUGCAUUGGGGCAGGUAGUGUUCUCCUGGCAUUAGCCAAGUCCAGAUGGUGAAAGGUGAUUCAUCAUUCAAGAGAACGUGUUUCCACCGCUGAUGUUGCUUCCAUAGGUAGUUUGGCACUCGGUAGUGAGGGUUACAACAGAGGACAGACGCGCUACGGGCUUCAGCACUCCCGUUCUGUGAGCUUGUGUGGUCUACCACUUCCGUUGUUGCUCCUAGACGUUUCCACUUCUCAAUAAGAGCAAUUACAGUUGACCGGGGGCAGCUCUAGCAGGGCAGAUGUUUGACGAACUGACUUGUUGGAAAGGUGGCAUCCUAUGACGCUGCCACGUUGAAAAGUCACUGAGCUCUUCAGUAAAAACCACUCUACUGCUAAUGUUUGUCAAUGGAGAUUGCAUGUCCGUGUGCUCGAUUUUAUACACCUGUUAGCAAAAGGGGUGUUCACAUACUUUUCUAUAUCUAGUGUAGAUGCCACGUCACAAUACGGUGACCACUUACAUUGAAACAACAUUGAUUUAACCAGUUUGUGCCCAGUGGUUAACCUCUGAACUGAAGGUAGAGUUGCAUCAAAGAUGGACUAUUCAGUCUAUUCGCAGUGCAAUGUCAGUCCCCUACAAGGCUGUUACCAUGUUUAUACUUUAAGUCCUUCAGGUCCUCCAAUGUAAAAUACAUAUAAAGACAGUUCAUUUCACACAUAAUUGUCAUUUCUUUUUAUUUCUUGUGUUUGUUUUUUUUUUAUAUGCCAA
ensembl:lncRNA